GCCAGGCAUGAUGCUGCACACCUGUAGUCUGUGCUACUCGGGAGACUGAGGCAGGAGGAUGGCUUGAGCCCAGGAGUUCUGGGCUAUAGUGCGCUAUGCCAUUUGGGUGUCCACACUAAAUUUGGCAUCAGUAUAGUGACCCACCAGGAGCAGGGGAUGACCAGGUUGCCAGAGGAGGGGUGGACCAGCCCGGCUCAGAAACAGAGCAGGUCCAAACUCCUGUGCUGACCAGCAGUGGGACACAGCCUGUGACUAGCCACUAUACUCCAGCCUGGGCAACACAGUAAAAUCCUGACUCA
rnacentral:SRP_RNA from 1 species